GGACUACACGGGUAUCUAAUCCCGUUUGCUCCCCUGGCUUUCGCGCACUCAGCGUCAGUGUCGGCCCAGCAACCCGUCUUCACCUCAGGUGUUCCUCUUGAUAUCUACGCAUUUCACCGCUACACCAAGAAUUCCGAUUGCCCCUUCCGCACUCUAGCAGAACAGUAUCAGUUGACAGUUCUGAGUUAAGCUCAGAGAUUUCACAACUGACUUGAUCUGCCGCCUACGCGCCCUUUACGCCCAGUAAAUCCGAACAACGCUUGCUCCCUACGUAUUACCGCGGCUGCUGGCAC
rnacentral:rRNA from 1 species